GGGAGCUUUCCCCGGGCGU
rnacentral:snRNA from 1 species